CGCCGUAACAUGGCCUUUUCAGAUUUGACGGGACGCAUACAAUCCCCUUUUUCCAAAGACCCAGUCCGGAUCCAAAUGACUACCCAACUUCUAAGGUGGUAGUUCUACUGGUUGCGGGUCGACGCUGAGAUCCGCCGCGCUUAAAGAGGCUGCUCCGUGCGCAGUCCUUCGACGCCGCUUGUGAAGGAACCGGCCUCCUCCCAGCCCUUCUCAUUUGGGUUGUUUAUCUACCGUUGGUUGUGAAGUCGUUGUCUAAUAAGUAGUCGUCCGUGUGUCGGUGUCUAACUGUCUGCUGAGGACCUCCGUCGGUGUAGCCCACUAGGGUCCGCUCAGUUCCUUAAUCAUAGUGCCUUAGGUUCGUAAUAUGAACCUUGGUGAGGUGUUCCUUUGUCGACGGAGGUGUAUAGGAGAUACGUACCAGUGUUCCUUAAGACGCUCCUACACGACCUUUAUCUCCUCAGAGAGGAAAAUUUACGAUUGAAACUCAGAAAGGAGAGUUUCAACUUAGAAGUUCCCCUCUGUGGCGAACAUUGGCGGCAAUGUGUACCAGUACGGAAGCACCGAAGAAAAAAUCAACCUGCGACGGUAGCUGAUCCUAACUCUGUCCAUUAGAACGUCGUUCUGUUCUGACCAACAUUACGUGACGUGGUACGGUAAGUGUCACCGGUAUUCCUUGAACGGGAGCUCAACUAUCGUCGUCUCGGACGAGACAGUGCUCUACACUUGUUUAAAUUUCUCAGUGGGAACAAAGAGCGACAGUACUCUCUAAAAACACUACACCAGCUCUUUGAUCAGUCUUAAUGACUAAGACGAGUACCUCCUCUCAAACCGAACUUACGAGAUGUACCACGACAGUCUUUACUAUUAGGUCAAUAACGAUCUGUUUAAUACCUCUGUGCGGGACUUGAACGGUCUCUUCCAUUGUGCCUAAACCAAUGAGGUUAUUCUUACCGCCAUGCAAUACCGUUCUACGCGCACCACGCUCUUAACGACGCUGUACUAAAAAGGAAUCCCAUACUUUACGUGUUCUUGUAGAAAGGAGACGAAUUAACACGGCGUCGACCUCCAGUCCAAUUACAACGAGUUCUUUAAGAGUCUGUAACGGGACUACGAGGAAUAGCACUUUAUCCACCACUCUGAGCCUGUACGGAAGUAUAUCGACAUAACUUGUUAGUAUAGCUCAAGCAAUUUAAAUAGGACUCGUGUGGUAUAGAAGCUUUCGAACAAUUGUACGUUCUGUCGUUGUCUUUUUGACGCAAUGUAAUGCGUCAGGUCCCCACGAUAGGAUUUUAUUAACGACGGAAUGACAGAGUACUCCUAUAUCUGUCUCGUCAUGAACUGUUGUCACGAUUUGGUUGUCGAACCCUUGACACCUAGUUAUGCAUAACGCGGUUUUCGUAUUUGACCUUAUUGCAUACCUACGAAUUCAACUUUCCGGCAGGGGUUUUAUGGUACACAGAAGUUUUAUAAGUACCACUACAGUUCGUUCCUCGUUAAUUACUUAGUUCGCCCCAUCGUUUCAGUGGAACGGGUGACGAAAGUAAGACGGACAUUCUAUGUUUCCACUACGACCUUCGCUCCCUGAACGGUACUACAGAUCCUUCUAACGUAUAGUCCGUAAGGACUAGAGUCUGCGGAAUCGCCGCACGAGGAGCAAACGACAGCGGAACUAUACGUGCUAGGUCCUGUAUAGUAAAUGAUUCUUCGAGUACACCAAACGAAUGCACCGAACAAGUCGAUCAAAUAUACGUCAUUACCAGGGCGCAGAGGUGACCAACUGGUAGCGUGGUACGGAAGACCACGAAAAACCGGGUAAGAAUGAUCCGUCGACCCGUCUACCGGCGGUUUGAGAAUAUCCAAGACUAUGUUAGAGCUUCGUCACCUUCACUACUGGGAGGAGGAGGAGGGCCUUAGAUUUGGGCUUGUACACCUGAAGAUACACUGCACGUGCACAAAAUGUUCAUCACUUAAAGGUAUUCAAUUGUUAUACAUACUUAAAUGCUUGAACACACUACACAUGAUCAUACUUUGUAAACAAAUAUAUACACAUGAUGAAGUUUAAUACGGUUAUAUACACCUGAUGAAGUAAACAGAUAUAUACUGUUGUAAAAAAUAUAUACACGAAGUCUAAAUA
rnacentral:rRNA from 1 species